rnacentral:rRNA from 1 species
UAUUGCAAAAUGGGCGCAAGCCUGAUGCAGCCAUGCCGCGUGUAUGAAGAAGGCCUUCGGGUUGUAAAGUACUUUCAGCGGGGAGGAAGGGAGUAAAGUUAAUACCUUUGCUCAUUGACGUUACCCUCAGAAGAAGCCGCGGCUAAAUUCGUGCCCGCAGCCGCGGUAAUAAGGAGGGUGCAAGCGUUAAUCGGAAUUACUGGGCGUAAAGCGCACGCAGGCGGUUUGUUAAGUCAGAUGUGAAAUCCCCGGGCUCAACCUGGGAACUGCAUCUGAUACUGGCAAGCUUGAGUCUCGUAGAGGGGGGUAGAAUUCCAGGUGUAGCGGUGAAAUGCGUAGAGAUCUGGAGGAAUACCGGUGGCGAAGGCGGCCCCCUGGACGAAGACUGACGCUCAGGUGCGAAAGCGUGGGGAGCAAA